AAAUAUGCUAUAAAACCCAGGAUAACAUGUUGGGGUACAUUGCAGUGGAUGAAUAGCCCUCCAGAUGGUGGGCUUUAAAGAAGGAUGACCCUGGAAUGACUCCUUCAGCACCUGGAAGUCUAAUCAAUGGGCAGAAGGAAGGGAAUACACCAAUGCCAACUUGGUUUCAGUGAACCCAGUGGCAAAUGUCUGGUCUUAGUAUUCUGGACAAAGUCAGAAGUCCACUAGACUUUUACAAAGACAAAGCUGGUGAUAUAUCUAGGCACAAGCCUGAAUUUCUCAUAGGAACAGAGGCCCACAAGUUAAACAAACAAACAAACAAACUAAGCAUCACUAUGUUCUGAUGAUUGCAUCUAAUCUCUAGUCCAUUCCUGCACCUACGCUGCUAAAGGUAAGGCACUUGCUGAUCUAAAUCUCAGUCUUGAUCUCACAAGAAAUGU
rnacentral:lncRNA from 1 species